GGCGGCAUGCCUAACACAUGCAAGUCGAACGGAAGUAGCAAUACUUCAGUGGCGGACGGGUGAGUAAUACGUAGGAAUCUGCCUUUAAGUGGGGGAUAACCCGGGGAAACCCGGAUUAAUACCGCAUGAUCUCGCAAGAGCAAAGGGGGGGAUCGCAAGACCUCCCGCUUUUAGAGGAGCCUACGUCGGAUUAGCUAGUUGGCGGGGUAAAAGCCCACCAAGGCAACGAUCCGUAACUGGUCUGAGAGGAUGAUCAGUCACACCGGAACUGAGACACGGUCCAGACUCCUACGGGAGGCAGCAGUGGGGAAUAUUGGACAAUGGGCGAAAGCCUGAUCCAGCCAUGCCGCGUGUGUGAAGAAGGUCUUCGGAUUGUAAAGCACUUUAAGUUGGGAGGAAGGGCAGUUACCUAAUACGUGAUUGUUUUGACGUUACCGACAGAAUAAGCACCGGCUAACUCUGUGCCAGCAGCCGCGGUAAUACAGA
rnacentral:rRNA from 1 species